UACGUAGGGGGCAAGCGUUGUCCGGAUUUAUUGAGCGUAAAGAGCGUGUAGGCGGUUCGGUAGGUCCGUUGUGAAAACUCGAGGCUCAACCUCGAGACGCCGAUGGAAACCAUCUAACUAGAGUCCGGAAGAGGAGAAUGGAAUUCCUGGUGUAGCGGUGAAAUGCGCAGAUAUCAGGAAGAACACCCGUGGCUAAGGCGGUUCUCUAGUACGGUACUGACGCUGAGACGCGAAAGCGUGGGGAGCGAACAGG
rnacentral:rRNA from 1 species